AUUGAACGCUGGCGGAAUGCUUUACACAUGCAAGUCGAACGGCAGCACGGACUUCGGUCUGGUGGCGAGUGGCGAACGGGUGAGUAAUGUAUCGGAACGUGCCCAGUCGUGGGGGAUAACGUAGUGAAAAUUACGCUAAUACCGCAUACGAUCUAUGGAUGAAAGCGGGGGAUCGCAAGACCUCGCGCGAUUGGAGCGGCCGAUAUCAGAUUAGGUAGUUGGUGGGGUAAAGGCCCUCCAAGCCAACGAUCUGUAGCUGGUCUGAGAGGACGACCAGCCACACUGGAACUGAGACACGGUCCAGACCCCUACGGGAGGCAGCAGUGGGGAAUUUUGGACAAUGGGCGAAAGCCUGAUCCAGCCAUUCCGCGUGCAGGAUGAAGGCCCUCGGGUUGUAAACUGCUUUUGUACAGAACGAAAAGGUUUCUACUAAUACUAGGAGCUCAUGACGGUACUGUAAGAAUAAGCACCGGCUAACUACGUGACAGCAGCCGCCGUAA
rnacentral:rRNA from 1 species